rnacentral:rRNA from 1 species
UACCGAGGAGCCAAGCGUUGUCCGGAUUGACUGGGCGUAAAGCGCACGCAGGCGGACGCGCGCGUGGGGUGUGAAAUCUGGCCGCUUAACGGCCAGGCGCCAUCCCAUACGGCGGGUCUGGAGUGAUGCAGAGGGCGGUGGAAUUGCCGGUGUAGUGGUGAAAUGCGUAGAGAUCCGGAGGAACACCAGUGGCGAAGGCGACACGCUGGGCCGUACCUGACACUGAUGCGCGACAGCAUGGGGAGCAAACAGG